AGCAGCCGCGGUAAUUCCAGCUCCAAUAGCGUAUAUUAAAGUUGUUGCAGUUAAAAAGCUCGUAGUUGAAUUUCGGGAUCAAUUCGUCGGUCGUGCUUUUUGUACGUACUGGUGUUAUUGGUUUCUCCCUUCUGACGAACCAUGAUGUCAUUAAUUUGGUGUUAUGGGGAGUUAGGACUGUUACUUUGAAAAAAUUAGAGUGUUUAAAGCAGGCAUUAGCUUGAAUACAUUAGCAUGGAAUAAUGAAAUAGGACGUUCGAUCCUAUUUUGUUGGUUUCUAGGAUCAACGUAAUGAUUAAUAGGGAUAGUUGGGGGCAUUAGUAUUCAAUUGUCAGAGGUGAAAUUCUUGGAUUAUUGAAGACUAACUACUGCGAAAGCAUUUGCCAAGGAUGUUUUCAUUAAUCAAGAACGAAAGUUAGGGGAUCGAAGACGAUCAGAUACCGUCGUAGUCUUAACCAUAAACUAUGCCGACUAGGGAUCGGAUGAUGUUAAUUUUUUAAUGACUCAUUCGGCGCCUUAC
rnacentral:rRNA from 1 species